UACGUAGGGUGCAAGCGUUAAUCGGAAUUACUGGGCGUAAAGCGUGCGCAGGCGGUUUUGUAAGUCUGACGUGAAAGCCCCGGGCUCAACCUGGGAAUUGCGUUGGAGACUGCAAGGCUUGAAUCUGGCAGAGGGGGGUAGAAUUCCACGUGUAGCAGUGAAAUGCGUAGAGAUGUGGAGGAACACCGAUGGCGAAGGCAGCCCCCUGGGUCAAGAUUGAC
rnacentral:rRNA from 1 species